UUGCACGAGCUCCGGAGCUUUCUCUGACUAGUUUUGAUUGAAGAAGAAUGCCCUAAAGUUAGUGCUAGAUGGUGAUGCCAUUGGGUGUUGCAGUUUAGCAUUUGUACCAAUUUGUGUCAAUUUGAAGUAUACAUCC